AUUGAACGCUGGCGGCAGGCCUAACACAUGCCAGUCGAACGAGAGGCGGACGGGUGAGUCAUGUCUGGGAAACUGCCUGCUGGAGGGGGAUAACUACUGGAAACGGUAGCUAAUACCGCAUACCAUCGGAUGUGCCCAGAUGGGAUUAGCUAGUAGGUGGGGUAAAAGCUCCCCUAGGCGACGAUUCCUAGCUGGUCUGAGAGGAUGAUCAGUAAAACUGGAGUGUGGGUACGACAGAGACUCCAACGGAAGGAGGCAGUGGGGAAAAUUGGACAAUGGGCGAAAGCCCAAUCCUAGGAUGCAGCGUGUCAGAAGAAGGUCUUCGGAUUGUAAAACUCUUUGAGUAGGGAGGCGUUACCAACAGAAAAAGCACCGGCUAACUUCGUGCCAGCAGCCGCGGUAAUAC
rnacentral:rRNA from 1 species